rnacentral:rRNA from 1 species
GAUGAACGCUGGCGGCGUGCCUAAUACAUGCAAGUCGAGCGAACAGACGAGGAGCUUGCUCCUCUGACGUUAGCGGCGGACGGGUGAGUAACACGUGGAUAACCUACCUAUAAGACUGGGAUAACUUCGGGAAACCGGAGCUAAUACCGGAUAAUAUAUUGAACUGCAUGGUUCAAUCGUCAAAGACGGUUUUGCUGUCACUUAUAGAUGGAUCCGCGCCGCAUUAGCUAGUUGGUAAGGUAACGGCUUACCAAGGCGACGAUGGGUAGCCGACCUGAGAGGGUGAUCGGGCACACGGGAAGUGAGACACGGUCCAGACUCCGACGGGAGGCAGCAGUAGGGAAUCUUCCGCAAUGGACGAAAGCCUGACGGAGCAACGCCGCGUGAGUGAUGAAGGUCUUCGGAUCGGAAAACGAUGUUAUUAGGGAAGAACAAAUGUGUAAGUAACUAUGCACGUAUUGACGGUACCUAAUCAGAAAGCCACGGCUAACUACGUG